CCUACGGGAGGCUAUAGUGAGGAAUAUUGGUCAAUGGGCGCGAGCCUGAACCAGCCAAGUAGCGUGAAGGAUGACUGCCCUACGGGUUGUAAACUUCUUUUAUAAAGGAAUAAAGUGAGGCACGUGUGCCUUUUUGUAUGUACUUUAUGAAUAAGGAUCGGCUAACUCCGUGCCAGCAGCCGCGGUAAUACGGAGGAUCCGAGCGUUAUCCGGAUUUAUUGGGUUUAAAGGGAGCGUAGAUGGGUUGUUAAGUCAGUUGUGAAAGUUUGCGGCUCAACCGUAAAAUUGCAAUUGAUACUGGCAGCCUUGAGUAUAGUUGCGGUAUGCGGAAUUCGUGGUGUAGCGGUGAAAUGCUUAGAUAUCACGCAGAACCCCGAUUGCGAAGGCAGCUUACUAAACUGCCACUGACAUUGAUGCUCGAAAGUGUGGGUAUCAAACAGGAUUAGAUACCCUAGUAGUC
rnacentral:rRNA from 1 species